CCUGGAGAAUCCCAGGGACGGGGGAGCCUGGUGGGCUGCUGUCUAUGCGGUUCCACAGAGUCGGACACAACUGAAGCGACUUAGCAGCAGCAGCAGCAGCAUGUUGUAAUAUGGUCUCAGCAUAGCUAAGCUAUUUUAGCAAAAUCUAUUUUGCAUGAUUUUAUGUACACUUUUCCCCCAAGGUGAUCAGAUUUAUUAGCUGCUUUAAUCAUGUUUAAUGUGACGCUCUAUUGUAAUUUACCAAUUUGUAAUUCAUGUAUAAUAAAGGAGUACAUAGCAUCAUUUAUGCUCUACUCUGUUACCAUUAAUUCUUCUCUCCCCACCUCCACCUUGUUGAAAUGAAAUGCUUUCUUUAAGAUACUUUAUAAAAUGUGCUUGUACUUUCCACACAGAACCAAACAAAGAGAAGGAGGCUGGAACUGCACCAGCAAAAGAACCAAAUAAAGAAAAGGAGGCCGGAACUUCACCGGGAAAAGAAGUUAAACAAGGUCAUGGCCACAUGCAGUCACAUGCUCAGGAACAUAAACUGCCAUGUAUGUGUUUGCUCUACAUGCCUAGAAAGCAAAUCGAUUUAGGAUAGAAAGAGACAUCCCUAAAUAAAGAAGGUAGGUGGUGGAAGUUAUUUCUAAAUAUCCAGUCCCCUUCAACUAUUACUUACUUUGAUCAAGGACAGAGAAAUUUCAAAGAAAAUACUCAAGUAAAAAGUAGACACAAUAAUCAUUGCUACAUAUAUAGCCCUGGCUGAGAAAGAAUUCUUGCAUGAACGUGAGCAAGACUGACAGGUGCAACAGACCUGCCUUCCAGUUUACACUAGAAUCCCUGUCCUUCACCCUCCCCCAACCCUCAGUCCAUCUAAUUGUUUUUAUUUUUAUUAUUUAUUUAUUUAUUUAUUUUACUUUAUUUUACUUUACAAUACUGUAUUGGUUUUGCCAUACAUUGACAUGAAUCCACCACGGGUGUACAUGCGUUCCCAAACAUGAACCCCCCUCCCACCUCCCUCCCCCUAACAUCUCUCUGGGUCAUCACCGUGCACCAGCCCCAAGC
rnacentral:lncRNA from 1 species